ACCGGAUUAGAUACCUUGGUAGUCCACGCCGUAAACGAUGUCGACUUGGAGGCUGUUCCCUUGAGGAGUGGCUUCCGGAGCUAACGCGUUAAGUCGACCGCCUGGGGAGUACGGCCGCAAGGUUAAAACUCAAAUGAAUUGACGGGGGCCCGCACAAGCGGUGGAGCAUGUGGUUUAAUUCGAUGCAACGCGAAGAACCUUACCUACUCUUGACAUCCAGAGAACUUUCCAGAGAUGGAUUGGUGCCUUCGGGAACUUUGAGACAGGUGCUGCAUGGCUGUCGUCAGCUCGUGUUGUGAAAUGUUGGGUUAAGUCCCGCAACGAGCGCAACCCUUAUCCUUUGUUGCCAGCGAUUCGGUCGGGAACUCAAAGGAGACUGCCGGUGAUAAACCGGAGGAAGGUGGGGAUGACGUCAAGUCAUCAUGACCCUUACGAGUAGGGCUACACACGUGCUACAAUGGCGCAUACAAAGAGAAGCGACCUCGCGAGAGCAAGCGGACCUCAUAAAGUGCGUCGUAGUCCGGAUCGGAGUCUGCAACUCGACUCCGUGAAGUCGGAAUCGCUAGUAAUCGUGGAUCAGAAUGCCACGGUGAAUACGUUCCCGGGCCUUGUACACACCGCCCGUCACACCAUGGGAGUGGGUUGCAAAAGAAGUAGGUAGCUUAACCUUCGGGAGGACGGUUACCACGGUGUGAUUCAUGACUGGGGUGAAGUCGUAACAAGGUAGC
rnacentral:rRNA from 1 species